rnacentral:rRNA from 1 species
CGUGAGCGGCGGACGGGUGAGUAACGCGUGGGUAACCUGCCUCAUACAGGGGGAUAACAGUUGGAAACGGCUGCUAAUACCGCAUAAGCGCACAGUACCGCAUGGUACCGUGUGAAAAACUCCGGUGGUAUGAGAUGGACCCGCGUCUGAUUAGGUAGUUGGUGGGGUAACGGCCUACCAAGCCGACGAUCAGUAGCCGACCUGAGAGGGUGACCGGCCACAUUGGGACUGAGACACGGCCCAA